CCUACGGGAGGCAGCAGUGAGGAAUCUUGCGCAAUGGGGGAAACCCUGACGCAGCCACGCCGCGUGCCGGAAGAAGGCCCUAUGGGUUGUAAACGGCUUUUAUUCGGGAAGAAAGUCCGGGAUUCGUCCUGGUUUGACGGUACCGAAUGAAUAAGCACCGGCUAACUCCGUGCCAGCAGCCGCGGUAAU
rnacentral:rRNA from 1 species